UGGCUUCCUUCACCAGCAGGUGCAUGAAAAUUGAGGCAGCACAAAGAAGAUUAGCAUAGACCCAGUGCAAGAAUGACACACGAGAUCAUGAAUGUAGAAUAAAAAGGUAUU
rnacentral:snRNA from 1 species